rnacentral:sRNA from 1 species
GUCUAGCCCCGAUAGCAGCGGCAUCCUUUUUGGACUUUAGGCCAAAAAGAUAAAGCGAAUAGCGGGACAAAAC